CGUUGCAGCGCCGAACAGAGCAGCGCGGCGCUGCAAAAUUUUAAUUUCCCGUGAAGCAUUGGCACGCAGAAUGUCGCUGGUAAACCCGCCGCGCUGCUUGUUGACGGACAAGUGGGAAUUGGAAGAUUCGCGCGCAGGCAGCAAUUCGUUCCAACUUGUUUGUUUUUAUUUCUUAAAAGUCUGAAGUGAUUUAGUUUAAACUAUGGACGGAGAAAAAAUUAAUAAACUUAUCGUUCUUGUGGCUGAAUUUAGUGAGCUAUAUGACAUGACUCAUAAAAGUUAUAGUAGCCAACACAGGAGAGAAAUAAUUUGGACGGAAAUUGGUAACAAACUUAAUGAAAAGGCCGAUGCUUGUAAGCAGAGAUGGAAAACUUUAAGAGACGCUUUUCAGAGAGCAGCAAAAAACAACCAAACAAAAAGUGAAUAAGCUGCCAAAGGCAACAAGAAAUGGAAAUACUGGGAUGCCAUGGCUUUUCUUUAGCCUUAUAUUAAAGGAAGAGAGUAUGAAAAUUUUUUCAUAUGCUAUUAUUAUGAAUUUAUUAACCAGUGAUUUAUUUAUCUAAGAACUCAUUUAAAUGUUAGCCAAAUACAGCAAGAAGGUAUAAGUGAAGACGAUGAAAUGGAUACUCAAUUAGAAAAUAAUACACAAAGCCAAAGAGGAGACAGAUUGUGUGAAGAUUAUGAUGCCGAAAAUAAUUUAGAUAUUCCGUCUUCCAUUUCACAGUCAAAUACACCUUCUUGUUUUUCAAGCAUAGAGACUCCAUCAAGACCAUCAUCUCGUGUUACAAGUGUAAAAAGUGUCCAGCGUUUUAAGAAAUUAAAAGCUGCAGUCAAAAAUGAUGAGUCAAUACCGGAAAUAUUACAAGAAUAUAUUGAUGACAAAAAACGUAGUCGUUUAGAAAAGCAGACCAAAGAUCUUGUAAAACCAUCAGUAAAUGAAAAUAGCCCACUAAUAUAGAUUUUUUUUUAUUAAUAUGGGCAAAACAACGGCUACAUUUCCUCCACUACGGCAAGCUACCCUGAAAAAUAAAGUAUUUCAAAUAGUAAAUUCAUACGAAUUGCAAAAGUUAUCAAAUUCCUCCUCUUUGAUAACACAAACUUCUAGUGAAAGUCAAAUACUGGGUCACAAUCAUACACCAUCCUAAAUUCAUGAGACACUUCAGCCACCAAUGCAAAUACAGUCACCUAUGCAGAAUCCACCAUCUGUACAAACUCGACCGCCAAUGCAACAACACAUCUCUGUACAAGAUGAAUCGUCUACAUUCUUCGGGGAAACUUCUACAUACUAUUCACAAUUCGCAACUCAAUUACCUCACUCAUAGACACCUCACUAAUCUUGCCCAUUUUUUUGUGAAGAGAUAUUUUUUUUUGGUUUAUUUUUUCUAUGUGUUUUCUUAGGACUAUUUUGUUAACUAGUGUUUAUUUUUACAAUCAAAUUAUCAAACAUAAAAUCAGUUUAUUUUGUUGCGUUAAAUUAAAAAUUAUUUUUUCAUAUCACUUAAAAAUAAAUGUUUAGACUAAUUAAA